rnacentral:rRNA from 1 species
GUGAACGCUGGCGGUAGGCCUAACACAUGCCAGUCGAACGGCAGCACGGUAAGAGCUUGCUCUUACGGGUGGCGAGUGGCGGACGGGUGAGGAAUACAUCGGAAUCUACUUUUUCGUGGGGGAUAACGUAGGGAAACUUACGCUAAUACCGCAUACGACCUACGGGUGAAAGCAGGGGAUCUUCGGACCUUGCGCGAUUGAAUGAGCCGAUGUCGGAUUAGCUAGUUGGCGGGGUAAAGGCCCACCAAGGCGACGAUCCGUAGCUGGUCUGAGAGGAUGAUCAGCCACACUGGAACUGAGACACGGUCCAGACUCCUACGGGAGGCAGCAGUGGGGAAUAUUGGACAAUGGGCGCAAGCCUGAUCCAGCCAUACCGCGUGGGUGAAGAAGGCCUUCGGGUUGUAAAGCCCUUUUGUUGGGAAAGAAAAGCAGCAGGUUAAUACCCCGCUGUUCUGACGGUACCCAAAGAAUAAGCACCGGCUAACUUCGUG